GUUACGUGGAGCGAUUAUACAGGCCUGCUCUGGCAUCUUCCCAUCAGAUGCAUGGGGAAAAGCCAGGUGACAGAGCUGUUGCAGAGACCAGCUGUCGGUGAAGCCCGGAGCUGUGCUGUGCCAUGAUAGGAAUUGGCCAGGUGGUUUGGAUUCCAUUUGGGAUCAGAAAGAUGGCGAGCUAUUGAAUGAACAGCCGAGGAGUGACGACACCGAACCUACCUACUGGUCUGGUAGGAGGCUGGCCAAGCCUGCACUCUGCUCCCCACCAUUUCACUCUCAGAUUCACACAACCGUCAAACAUUCUUUCUCCUGUUGUGGACACUCGCAUUUAGACAUCUACUCUGGACAAUGGCAAUAACCAAGACACGGAUUCUACCCGUGCUGUGUGAUUGGGGUUGUGAAUUGUACUGACCAGUGCCUGUAGUGGUGAAGACUUUGUAAAUGUUUGAUAUUGUACAGCCAGUUUAUUAU